rnacentral:lncRNA from 10 species
CGCUCAAUGCUUUUAUUUAGUUUAGCUCUCUCUCUCUCUCUACCAUCAUAUUUUCUUUAUUUCUUUCUCUUUUAGAAUUAUGGAUAUCGCAAACAUUGAGGAGAUGCAAAUUAGCGUAUGUUGUCAUCUACAAUAAAGGAAGAAGAUAUGCAAAGGGUGCAUUUUUAGCCAAUGCUUGCUGAAGAAAUUUACAUAAGGUUUGUGAAGAAAUGCUUGCUGAAGAAAUUUACGUAAGGUUUGUGAAGAAAUGCAAAGCGUUAAGAGCCAUAAAUUGGAUGGAUAUGGAUCCUAGACAGAGAGGAUACCCUUUUACACUAAAUCUGGCAAUCAAGAUGGGGAGAGUUCAAGUAAUUAAGGAUUGUGAUCGGUCUACCCACAUGUUAGGCAUUUCAAGCCUGUUUGCACCAUUUUCCCUGAAACUUAAAAGAGUUUCGCUCUUGUUGUCCAGAGGCUGGAGUGCAAUGACGUGAUCUUGGCUCACUGCAACCUCCCAGGUUCAAGCGAUUCUUCUGCCUCAGCCUCCUAAGUAGCUGGGAUUACAGGCGCCUCCCACCAUGCCUAGCUAAUUUUUUGUAUUUUUAGUAGAGACAGGGUUUCACUAUGUUGGUCUCGAACUCCUGACCUCAUGUGAUCCACCUGCCUUGGACUCCCAACGUGCUGGGAUUACAGGCAUGAGCCACCGCUCCUGGCCUAAAAUUUGCCUUUUACAAAAACUCAACAAAAGAUCAUCUCAACUAAGGCAUACUAAAUAAUAUUUAAGACACAAACUUACAGGCUAAAAAAAAUAAACCUGCCAUAGUAACAAACACACACUCAGGAAUUACCUACACGAUAAACAUUUUAAAUUGCUAAACCAAAUAGAAGGAAACACAAAUAACAUUGUAAAGUUUGAUAGGUACUAGAUGGUAUUCAAAUGACCUCAAAUAUCUAAAGUAAGAUGCAAGAGUGUACCUCUUUCAGUUUCCCAAUUAGUUAUUUGUUUUAGAUUAAACAAUAGUGUAAUGCAUCAAUUCCUUGGGUAAUUUACCGAUUGGAAUUCCUAGUGUCAUCCUUGAGACACAAGCAAAAAAACUCAACAAUAUUAUCCACGUGAAAUGGGACCUCUAAACUGUCCUGUUUUGUUACAGCCUCUAAUGAGCCAAAAUAGUAUAAGAAUCUUGAAGAUUAAGAAUUUCUGUAGUGCUCUACUUGCCUGAAAUUUGGGGUGCUAAGCAUUAAAAAAAUGCAAUUUUAGUGUGUUAUACUUGCGGACAUUAAACACUAUGUGUAAAGGUUGAGAAUUUCUACCAUAAAAUACAUAGAUCCUCUGGAUGUAAAUCUUGUAUAUGACACAAACUAGAUGUUAGACCCUAAAAAAGAUGUUCAGAUUCUCCAUGUGUCAGUCUCUUCAUUUUAAAGAAUCUAAAAUACGAAGAAUAAAACAAUGUAGGGAAAGUCUUUAGAAUAAUGAAAUUUACUUGAUAAGCAUUCAAUAAAUAUUUGCUAUUAUUACUGAUGGUUAAUAUUGUCAACUUGAUUGGAUUGAAGGAUACAAAGUAUUGAUACUAGGUGUGUCUGUGAGGAUGUUGCUAAAGGAGAUUAACAUUUGAGUCAGUGAGCUGGGAAAGGCAGACCCACCCUUAAUCUGGUGGGCAUAAUCUAAUCAACUGCCAACGUGGCUACAAUAUAAGCAGGCAGAAGAAUGUGAAAAGAGAGACUAGCCUAGCUUCCCAGCCGACAUCUUUCUCCUGUGCUGGAUGCUUCCUGCCCUGGAACAUCAGACUCCAAGUUCUUCAGUUUUGGAACUCAGACUGGCUCUCCUUGCUCCUCAGCCUGCAGACGGCCUAUUGUGGGACCUUGUGAUCCUAUGAGUUAAUACUUAAUACAUUCAUUCAUAUAUAUAUAUAUAUAUAUAUAUAUAUCUGCAUUCCAUUAGUUCUGUUCCUCUAGAGAACCCUGACUAAUACAAUUACUAUUAAUGGAGACUAAGUUAUGUCAACUUAUCAACUUGAUAAAAUGUCCAACUUAAUUAUUUAGAGCAAAAAUGAGAGAAAGAGGUGAUAAAGGUAUUGUAAAUGUCAUUAAUAGAAUAAAUAUUCAGCAUGUUGUACAAAAAUUUUAAAUUUAAGUACAUGGGCUUAUUGAAAAAUAAUGUAUUUUUUCUUAUGCAUCUACUUAUAAAAAUGCUACAUGAUUUAAUAUGUGCUGACUGACAUUAAGGUAACUUUUUCUUCACUAUACAUUUGAAAAUUGUAUUGUUUCACGAAUUUCACUACAAAAUGCUCAACUUAAUGGUAACUUGACAGUAUUAUAUAAAGUCUAUGGUUAUAACUUGGAUUGUGUCUUCAAUGCUAUUUUAUGGUUUGAAAGUCCAGGAAAACAGUGUGAUUAACUUUCUGAGGCUCCAGGAGUGGCAGAAGUUUGUCAGCUUCUUUUCUUCUUAUUUUUUAGCUUUCAGGACAUCUCCAUAUGGCUAGGUUUUUCACUACCCUAGUGAAACUAGCCUCCCAGCGAUAUCAAGACAAAUUUCUCUUGAGCAAUUUCAAGAGAAUAGCACUCGUCUUUUUUCAUGUUAUAGACUACCAACUCAAGUCCACAUUUUUUAGCUGAGAGAUUUGUAUUA